AUUUUUUUUCAAAUUUCAUAUCACGAGGGUGGGACUAUUGAGAAAGCCUUGGAGGCCGCAAUAAAAGGAUGGGGGUUAGAGCCAGUUGUGACAGUUACAAUUGACAAUGCCUCUUCUAACAAUGUAGCAUUGGGGCAUCUUAAAACCAAUCUUAAAGAGGAAACUAAGUCAAUCAUGGAUGGUGAUUGUUUGCAUAUGGGGUGAGAGGUUGGAAUAGGAUCCCCUAGUCCAUUAUCCUGUAGAAGCCUAGUCAGAGUUAGAUACUUGGCAUCGAAUUUGCACCGAUUGACAUGGAGGUUUGAUAUAUUAUUUUGGUGGAAAACCAAUGUUGUGAAGUAUCCUAUCCUUGGAGACCUAGUCCAUAGUAUUUUAGUUAUCCCUAUUACUACCAUAGCCUUAGAGUCAAUCUUUAGCAUCGGAUGGCACAUAUUUGAUCCAUUCCGAAGUUUAUUAUCUCCUACCACUGUGGAGGCAUUAAUUUGCACUUAAAAUUGGAUUAAAGGGUCCCCAAUUUAUAUUCCGAAUGUGGGGGACUUUGAGGAGGCCGACAAGGAGGAGGGUAGUGAUUAGCGUAGAUCUGGUAAUCAUUUUUAAUUCAUUGAUUUGCUUUUCUUAUUUUAAUAUAUAUAUUCAUUUAACCGGUAUUAAUUUCAUAUUUAAUUGUUAUAUCAAUACAUGAGUCUACAUCUACAUCAACUAUAAUAUGGCUUCGUGUGUAUUGGACCCACCAUUGCCAUUUGCUAUUGGUAUGUAUAAUUUGUCCCUUAAUUGCUUUUUGUAUUUAUAUAGUUUUUGGUAAUUCUAAUUAUUUUUCUUGUAUUUGUUCUAGAUUUUAUAGUCUCACUGUCAUAUGCCCAAUCCUAAUCUCAAUGAUCUCAUUCUCAUUUUGAUCUCAAUCUCAUCUUGUUUCAUAGCACAGCUCACUGACUUUCUCAUCGCCAUGACCACUGACCACCCUAAAUUCCAAUGUCAAAGUCAAUUCGAAAAUUGAAAUGAUAUUCCUAGGUCAAUUGUAAUCUUGCUACAAUUUGUUACUUAAUUUUUUUUAUUGUUAUUCGUUUAAAUUAUGUGGCAAUUUGUAAUAUUUUUAAAUUAAUUUGUAUUAUUAUAAUAGCUUACUUAGGAUUAUUAGUUGCGACUUAUAAGUAUACAAGUUUUUUAAUUUGUAUUAUUCUAAUACCCUCAUUUUUUUUAA